rnacentral:lncRNA from 1 species
UUCCAGCCUGGGUGACAGACCAAGAGCCUGUCUAAAAAAAAAACCAAAAAACAAACAAACAAAAAAACUUAAACUUUCUUGCAGAUGAGCAGUCUGUGUUAAAAAAGAAAAAAAAAAAAGAAGGAAAAAGGAUUCAACUUUCUCCCCAGCCAUUUUGCUCUCUCUUCCCCUGCUGCAGCAAUUGUGAAAGCCACGCAUUUAGAUGGUGAAGCCACAAAAUGGAAACAGCCUGGAUCCCUGAGUCACCAGAUGCAGAAACAGCUGCCCUGAAAAGUUGUCCAUCUUGCACUAUACAUGCCCAUGUACGAGAAAUACAAGCCUUUUCUGGCCGGGCGCGGUGGCUCACGCCUGUAAUCCCAGCACUUUGGGAAGCCGAGGCGGGCAGAUCAUUUGAGGUCAGGAGUUCGAGAUCAGCCUGGCCAACAUGGUGAAACCCCGUCUCUACAAAAAAUAUAAAAAUUAGCCAGGCAUGGUGGCAGGCGCUUGUAAUCCCAGCUACUCAGGUGGCUGAGGUAGGAGAAUCGCUUGAACCUGGGAGGCAGUGGUUGCAGUGAGCCGAGAUUACACCAUUGCACUCCAGCCUGGGUGAUAAGAGCAAAACUCUGUCUCAAAAAAAAAAAAAAGGCCUUUUCUGUGGUUAAGAAAUGAGAAUCAAGUUUAAGAUAUUUGAGAUUUUUCUUUUUAUUAUUUUUUUCCUUAGAGGUAAUUGUGGGGUGGAGGUGGGGGUCUUGCUAUCUUGCCCAGGCUGGACUCAAACUCCUGGGUUCAAGCAAUCCUCCAGUCUCAGCCUCCCAAGUAGCUGGGACUAUAGGUACACACUACCACACCAGUUUCUUUGAGAUUUUUGUACAUCGGGAUAUAUAGCUCAUUCUUUUUAAGAUUUGCCAAGUGUUCCAUUGUAUGACUAUAAUAUAUUUAGGAGGUACAUUUCUUUAAUUUAAAUUUUUGAAUUGAUAUUAUAUACCAUAUGGUUUUAAAUUAAAAUGGUUCAAAAAAGUA